GUUUGCAGGGAGCUUAAUAAAGCUUGGACAGUGGUGAGGGCUCCGAUGGUGGUGAUGUUGUUGGGCUGGUUGUGGCCUCGUGUGCGGCAGCAACGGCCUCCCUCCUGUAACCUCUAUCGAUGGCCAUGGUAUGGCGACCUCCACGGACGAGGAAAGGAGAGGAGGACAAGCAGUCCCUAACGCCAAGUAUUCCUCAGGGUCCUAGCACAAGGACAAGCAGCGGCAACAACAUCUUCUUCCAUUCAGCCCAAGGACAAGCAGCAGCAGCGACCACAGCAGAUGCAGCCAUGCAGGGGAGGACGAUGACGCUCAGCAGCAGUAGCAGCUCAAGGCGGCGGUGCUGAUUAGAUUUGAUCCUCAAGGACACCCAUAGAUCUUGCUGCAGGAGGUGGGUUUUGGAGAACCAACCUCAGAUGCAGGAG